CCCGGGUUCACGUGAUUCUCCUGCCUCAGCUUCCCGAGAAGCUGGGACUACAGGCGUCCGCCAUCAUGCCCGGCUAAUUUUUAUAUUUUUAGUAGAGAUAGGGUUUCACCAGGUUGGCAAGGCUGGUUUCAAACUCCUGACACCAAGUGAUCCGCCUCGGUCCCCCAAAGUGCUUGGAUUAUUGGCAUGAGCCACCGCGCCUGGCCUGAACUUGGCUUUCUAAACUCCGUUUUGUGUUUCUGGUAUUUGGACUAUGGAAACUUCAGUUUCUCAUUUGACAGCUGGUUCCUUGCGAUGUUCUACCGACAGGGAGACAUAGAAAGAGAUGGAAAGAUGAAAAAGAAAAGACAUGCCCUGUUUGUUUGUUAUGCUUGUCAACAUUGCCUCUGCAAUAUCCCUUCAACUUUUUACUAAUUCCGAUUCUAGCUUUUUUCGUAUUCUCGGCACCAGCUGGACAAUGCCAUCGCCAUCCCCCCAGAGAGUAGCCUCGAAAGUCUGGAGAUGAUGCAAAGACCAGCCCUGAAGAGGAUGCCAUGUAUGUUGAUGUUUUCCAUCUUCAGGUUUUACCUGUCUCCUGUUCUCAUUGCUUCUGGAUCAAUAAUUAAGAUUGACUCUACAUGGCCCAAAUGAAGAAAUGAAAGGAAAUGGAUCAUUCACCAAAGGAUCUGCAGAACUUUGCUAAUAUUUACCAGAAGUAACCAGUAGGAUAUUCAACAACAUGGAUGCACCUGAAGGCGAAUAUCCUAAGUGAGAUAACUCAGAAACAGAAAAUCAAAUACAGAUUGUUCUCACUUAUAAAAGGGAGCUAAUCAAUGGGUACACGUAGACAUAAAGAUGAAAACAACAGACACUGGGGACUCCAAAAGUGGGGAUGGUGGAGUGGGGGUGAUGACUGAAAAAUUACUUAUUACUGAGUACUAUGUUCACUAUUUGUGUGAUGGGUUCACUAGAAACACAAAACCUUGCAUUAUGCAAUAUACCCGUGUAACAAAUCUGCACAAGUACCCCUGAAUCUACAAUAUAA
rnacentral:lncRNA from 10 species